rnacentral:rRNA from 1 species
UGAAUACGAGACGCUAAGGCGUCGAAGUAGUGUAUGUCAUACUUCCAAGAAAAGCUUGCACUGUCAUAGAUAAAAAACGCCUGUACCAUAACCGACACAGGUGGGUAGGUAGAGUAUACUAAGGGGCGCGAGAUAACUCUCUCUAAGGAACUCGGCAAAAUAACUCCGUAACUUCGGGAGAAGGAGUGCCUUAUUCGUAAGGUUGCAAUAACAAGAUCCAAGCAACUGUUUAUCAAAAACACAGGUCUCCGCUAAGUCGUAAGACGAUGUAUGGGGGCUGACGCCUGCCCAGUGCCAGAAGGUUAAAGAAGUUGGUUAGCAAUUGCGAAGCUGAUAACUGAAGCCCUGGUGAACGGCGGCCGUAACUAUAACGGUCCUAAGGUAGCGAAAUUCCUUGUCGGGUAAGUUCCGACCCGCACGAAAGGCGUAAUGAUUUGGAUACUGUCUCGGAGAGGGGCUCGGUGAAAUAGACUUGUCUGUGAAGAUGCGGACUACCUGCACCAGGACAGAAAGACCCUAUGAAGCUUUACUGUAACUUGAAAUUGAAAUUGGACUUUAUUCGCGCAGUAUAGGUGGGAGGCGUUGAUUAUAAUCUUGUGGGAUUAUUGGAGCCAUCAGUGAGAUACCACUCUUGUAAUGUUAGAUUUCUAACUUUGAAUCAUUAUCUGGUCAAAGAACAGUUUCAGGCGGGCAGUUUGACUGGGGCGGUCGCCUCCUAAACGGUAACGGAGGCGUACAAAGGUUUCCUCUGAACGGUUAGAAAUCGUAUCUAGAGUGUAAAGGCAUAAGGAAGCUUGACUGUGAGACCUACAAGUCGAGCAGGGACGAAAGUCGGUCUUAGUGAUCUGACGGUACUGAGUGGAAAGGCCGUCACUCAACGGAUAAAAGUUACUCUAGGAUAACAGGCUGAUCUCCCCCAAGAGUUCACAUCGACGGGGAGGUUUGGCACCUCGAUGUCGGCUCAUCGCAUCCUGGGGCGGUAGUACGUCCCAAGGGUUGGGCUGUUCGCCCAUGAAAGCGGUACGCGAGCUGGGUUCAGAACGUCGUGAGACAGUUCGGUCCAUAUCCGGUGUAGGCGUCAGAAUAUUGAGAGGAGCCUUCUUUAGUACGAGAGGACCGAGAAGGACAUACCUCUGGUGUACCAGUUAUCGUGCCAACGGUAAACGCUGGGUAGCUAUGUAUGGAGUGGAUAACCGCUGAAAGCAUCUAAGUGGGAAGCCCACCUCAAGAUAAGUAUUCUCAUCACGUAAGUGAGUAAGGUCACGGUAAGACUAACCGUUUGAUAGGCAUUAAGUGUAAGUACAGUAAUGUAUGUGCUGAGAUGUCCUAAUAGACCGAGGACUUG